CCAUUGGUGGUUCAGUGGUACAAUUCUCACCUUCCAUGCAGGAGACCCAGGUUUGAUUCCUGGCCAAUGCA
rnacentral:tRNA from 1 species